CGGCGCUCUCGCCCUUGUGAGCGCGGGGCACCGUGGGAAGUGCAGGAGCAGAAGAGGCCUCACCCCGUGACCUCGCAGCCAUGGUAACAGCGCCGCGCACGGCCGCCGCCGGUGAGGUGAGGCUGGAGCGAGCCGGUGCCAGCCUCGCGGGAGAGCGCCGACCUCUGCUGAGCGCGGUCUCGAAGUGCUCCAGGGUUGCUUCCUCUGGGCAUCCGGGCUCUGCUGCUCAGCCACCAUGAACUAAGCAUCUUUCCUCCACCAGGCCCUUCUGUGAUGAUGUUCUUGCCGUCGGGCCUGCCGAUCAUGGACCUAACCCUCUGAAAUCGCAUCCCAGUCAGUGGAUGUGAAGUCGUACUUUACUGUGGCUUUGAGUUCUAAUUCCCUAAUGACUAAUGAUGUUGAAAUUGUUUGUGCUGAUUGGCCAUUUGUCCAUCUUCUUUAGAGAAACAUCUCUCCCAAUUCUUGCUUUUUUGAGUGGAUUGUUUUAUUAUUGAGUUGUGAAAAUUCUUUGCACAUCUGGACACAGAUCACUUAUCAGACAUCUGAUUUGCCAGUAUGCUAUCGCAUUGUAUGCGUUGUCAUUUCGUGGAAUGAGCUGGGACAUAUUCCUUCUUCUUCUGUCUUUGGAAG
ensembl:lncRNA